AUGCUUGUUUAGGAGCAUGCAUAUUAAAAUUAGAAUGAGACAGAAGCUGGCAUGGCUCUUGUGCAAAGAUGACACACAAAUUCAUCCAAUGUUCCUUUUUUGU